AUGCUGUCAACGAGGGCGUUCUGUUUAUACCUGACACAGUUCCUCGUUUUUGAGAGCGAGUGCCGUCAUACUGGAGUGGCGCAAUUACCAGAUGGAACGAUUCUCUCUACAAUCUCACCGGAUCCAGCUUUCUCACAGGGGCAAAAUAUAGCCGGUCGAAGCACGCCCUUCCGCAUUUUGCAAAGCGAGGUCGGCCACUCCAUCGACGAUGCAUCGCCCUCAACAGCUGAUCACCGGUGGCCAGUUCUCCGGACAAGGAUGGCGAAUGGGAUGAAUCAGAUGAGACCCUCUGAACCUAAAUCUAAGCACUCUGAAAAACCUAAAGCUACUCAGUGGUUAAAAUCGGCAAGGGAUGCAGGCAGGAGUCUCAAACAGAAGGUUUCAAGUAUUGGAAGCGGGAGCGGGCGGUUUAGUCGAGGUGGAAGCUUCUCUUCAUAUGACUCAGACGGCAGUGGCCGUAGCAGUUCGAGGAACAGCGGUAGAUCAAAUAAAACUGACAAAACUAAGGUUCGAUUUUUUUUACCAUUUCAUCUAAACGUUUCAAAGAAAAAACUCGCCGUGGCGAGGAAAGGCAGCGAAUACAUAGUAUGGAUCCACCUUAAACUCAAAACCCCCUUUCCUUAUUUUAGACCAUUGAUCUUCCUUCACCCCUGGUAUGAAACUCACUGGAGUUGA
rnacentral:lncRNA from 1 species